ACUAACAACCACAAUAAGGGCAGGCAUGCUGCCCUCUCGAUUGCUGAAAACACGGUGCGGACAGACAGACUCUCUCAGGUCGUUCCCCUGAGAAGAGUAAGCAAGACACCGUUCAUCAAUCUUCCGGGUAGCUGUGCUCAGCUACCCUUUUUUUA
rnacentral:sRNA from 1 species